UAGCCUGAAAAUAUUCUCAAUUUAAUGACAAAUAGCAAGGAGGCAGUAAAGAAAGUCCUGCAUCUUGUGAGUACCUGUGAGAGAAGACUCCUUAACAUUUAGAAAACUAAAUCUUGCUAGCUGCCAAGAUUUCCAUUAUAAGAAAUGUCCAGACUAUUACAAACCCCAUCUAUUCCAGACACCUAUCUCAGAAUGAAUUAAAUCCUCCUCUAGAAGUGACUCUAGAAGUGCUCUUGAUUACAGGAAUAAGACCAAACACCAGUUUUAUAUUGAACAAUUGGAUUUUGAAUGGCUGCAAUCAAUCAAAACAAAUGCUGUCCCCAGCUUGUAUGAAGUGUACAGAAGUGACUGGAGUCAGGAUUAUCAGAUAGAAGAUCUCCUCAAAACUCCAAAGGUGCCCUGAAAGCACUCCUCAAACCUACACAGAUAUGGGGAAGAAGAAGCUCAGAAUGCUACUGCUUUAUUUUUAAUGGAGGGAAAAGAAGAUGGGAAAGAGCAAGGCUUCUCUUCCCUGCCUGAAAAUGUCUCUACCCCCACCUAAAAAGUCUCUACAGAACACCCCAACCUGUAAACUGUGUACGAUGCAGGCAAUUCUGAAACUUCCCAUUGAAGCCAUGUCACUGAUAAAAACAAGCUGCCUUAACAGCAAAUGACAUUUGCAUGUUUUUUUUUUCUUUCUUUUUUUCCCCCCUAUUUACAUAAUGUAUUAAAUUUAUUUUUCUUUCAAGAAGUCUAAUAGAAACUAAAUGGUUAGAGGAUGUGCAGAAAACAAGCAUUACAGAAAUAUACACCUGGAGUGAAUUCCUCUUUUAUGUAAGGCAGAAAGUGAUAUACCUUUUCAACAAUUCUUGGUGUGGGGUUUCUUUUUGGUAUAUCAUUACAUUACCCAUUCUUUUCCUGUGUACUCAAACUCCAUGUUUUCUGUAACAUUGCUCAUUCAUAUUCCAUGCAAGCCCAUCUAUUUUUGCUACAGUUUCUUUUGUUGAACAUAGUAUUCCAGACAAGGACACAUCAUUGAUUUAUACAAUAUUAUCAGUCAUUUGAUAACAUUUCUGUGCCUUGUUUAAUAUUAUUGGAAGUUGUUUGUUUUUAUUAAUGGAAUUAUGUCUUCAGCACACAUAUUUACUGGAGAAUCCAUUCUGGCUGAUAAGAUACCUGUGUGCGU